rnacentral:rRNA from 1 species
ACCAACCGGGAUUGCCUCAGUAACGGCGAGUGAAGCGGCAAGAGCUCAAAUUUGAAAGCUGGCUCCUUCGGAGUCCGCAUUGUAAUUUGCAGAGGAUGCUUUCGGGUGCGGCCCCCGUCUAAGUGCCCUGGAACGGGCCGUCAGAGAGGGUGAGAAUCCCGUCUUGGGCGGGGUGUCCGUGCCCGUGUAAAGCUCCUUCGACGAGUCGAGUUGUUUGGGAAUGCAGCUCUAAAUGGGUGGUAAAUUUCAUCUAAAGCUAAAUACUGGCCGGAGACCGAUAGCGCACAAGUAGAGUGAUCGAAAGAUGAAAAGCACUUUGAAAAGAGAGUUAAACAGCACGUGAAAUUGUUGAAAGGGAAGCGCUUGCGACCAGACUCGCCCGCGGGGUUCAGCCGGCAUUCGUGCCGGUGUACUUCCCCGUGGGCGGGCCAGCGUCGGUUUGGGCGGCCGGUCAAAGGCCCCUGGAAUGUAGUACCCUCCGGGGUACCUUAUAGCCAGGGGUGCAAUGCGGCCAGCCUGGACCGAGGAACGCGCUUCGGCACGGACGCUGGCAUAAUGGUCGUAAACGACCCGUCUUGAAACACGGACCAAAGGAGUCUAACAUCUACGC